CCUACGGGAGGCAGCAGUGAGGAAUAUUGGUCAAUGGACGAGAGUCUGAACCAGCCAAGUAGCGUGAAGGAUGACUGCCCUAUGGGUUGUAAACUUCUUUUAUAUGGGAAUAAAAUGUUCCACGUGUGGGAUUUUGUAUGUACCAUAUGAAUACGGAUCGGCUAACUCCGUGCCAGCAGCCGCGGUAAUACGGAGGAUCCGAGCGUUAUCCGGAUUUAUUGGGUUUAAAGGGAGCGUAGGUGGAUUGUUAAGUCAGUUGUGAAAGUUUGCGGCUCAACCGUAAAAUUGCAGUUGAAACUGGCAGUCUUGAGUACAGUAGAGGUGGGCGGAAUUCGUGGUGUAGCGGUGAAAUGCUUAGAUAUCACGAAGAACUCCGAUUGCGAAGGCAGUUCACUGGACUGCAACUGACACUGAGGCUCGAAAGUGUGGGUAUCAAACAGGAUUAGAUAUCCCAGUAGUC
rnacentral:rRNA from 1 species